CAGCCGAACGGCCCGAUUUAUCGGGCAGUGGCGAACGGGUGAGUAACACGUAAGAACCAACCCUCAAGUGGGGGAUAACCCCGAGAAAUCGGGGCUAAUACCGCAUAAGCUCCCCGAUUAUAUCGGGGAGGAAAGCUGAGGCGCUUGAGGACGGGCUUGCGUCCGAUUAGCUAGUUGGUGGGGUAAUGGCUCACCAAGGCUGAGAUCGGUAGCUGGUCUGAGAGGAUGGUCAGCCACACUGGGACUGAGAUACGGCCCAGACUCCUACGGGAGGCAGCAGCAGGGGAUAUUGCGCAAUGGGUGAAAGCCUGACGCAGCAACGCCGCGUGGGGGAAGAAGGUUUUCGGAUCGUAAACCCCUUUUCUCGGGGAAGAUGGUGACGGUACCCGAGGAAUAAGUCUCGGCUAACUACGUGCCAGCAGCCGCGGUAAGACGUAGGAGGCGAGCGUUAUCCGGAAUUAUUGGGCGUAAAGGGCGUGUAGGCGGCUCUUCAAGUCUUUGGUGAAAUCUCCCGGCUCAACCGGGAGGGUGUCAGAGAAACUGGAGGGCUUGAGGGCAGUAGAGGGGGGUGGAAUUCCCGGUGUAGUGGUGAUAUGCGUAGAUAUCGGGAGGAACACCAGUGGCGAAGGCGGCCCCCUGGGCUGUUCCUGACGCUGAGGCGCGAAAGCGUGGGGAGCAAACAGGAUUAGAUACCCUGGUAGUCCACGCCGCAAACGAUGGACACUAGGUAUGGGGGGUAUCGACCCCCUCCGUG
rnacentral:rRNA from 1 species